rnacentral:rRNA from 1 species
UAGGGAAUCUUCGGCAAUGGACGAAAGUCUGACCGAGCAACGCCGCGUGAGUGAAGAAGGUUUUCGGAUCGUAAAACUCUGUUGGUAGAGAAGAACGUUGGUGAGAGUGGAAAGCUCAUCAAGUGACGGUAACUACCCAGAAAGGGACGGCUAACUACGUGCCAGCAGCCGCGGUAAUACGUAGGUCCCGAGCGUUGUCCGGAUUUAUUGGGCGUAAAGCGAGCGCAGGUGGUUUAUUAAGUCUGGUGUAAAAGGCAGUGGCUCAACCAUUGUAUGCAUUGGAAACUGGUAGACUUGAGUGCAGGAGAGGAGAGUGGAAUUCCAUGUGUAGCGGUGAAAUGCGUAGAUAUAUGGAGGAACACCGGUGGCGAAAGCGGCUCUCUGGCCUGUAACUGACACUGAGGCUCGAAAGCGUGGGGAGCAAAUCAGGAUUAGAUACCCUGGUAGUC